rnacentral:tRNA from 1 species
GGGAGAUGGGCGGAGAAACUAAAAAAGGCCAAUCAUCAAACUCAUAACCUGAAGGUCGUUGGUUCAAAUCCAACCCCCG